GGGAGCGCAGAUCAAGACAAAGCCAUGGAAGCUCACCGCCCCGCAACACACACGAUGUCAUGGAAAACAUCCGCCCGCAUAACCUCGUCUCCAAAGCUUCCUCGGCCCUGUUCGUCUGAUCUUCAAACAACCAAGCAAAACUGGAUCUGGGAAGUCUUGCGAGGGUGUGACCUGCUUAUGGGAAGAGGAUUUUUGAGCUGAAAUAGCAAAGUAACAGCAUUCCCUUGAUGACCACACAGUUUUAUUUGCAUGGAAAGCGUUUUGCCUUGUCCACUGUGGGGAGCUCUUGCCACUCCAGCUGCUGGUGUAUCCCCUUUCUCUGCCGCAUACAUUUGACAUAGUGGAACCAGGCCAGCGACACUCAAGGGGACACCAGCCUCAUGAGAAUGAGUAGAGAGAAGAAAAGACUUCACAGUGUUCAGAAUAGCAACACACUUUCAAAUGAUCUGGACAGAAACCGUGUGAGCUCCUCUGAGAUGCAAAAGAAGACAAAUUGGAGAAGAAGUUUACACGUAUCUGACCACUUCCUAAAUCUAGACACAGCCCCCCACCCCUCAAAAAAAAAAAAAAGGAGGAGGAAGAAAAACUUAUCUAGGUAGAUGCUUUUGUUUGGAGAGGAUUUAAAUUUAGCAAUCACAGAGGUCAUUAUUCUCUUCUUUUGAAUUUAAUGAUGUGACUCAGUUACUCAAUGAACCCAUACCUCCCCGAGGUGGUUCGCUCGAGGGAGAGAUGAAAUUGCUGCUAAGUUCUACCGGGCCUUCUACUCACCCAUGUUGCUGCACAUUCUCACAAAUCUGCUGCCUCCUUUCUUGGACACAGGAAUGGCUGGAAUCCACCAAGCUAUAUGCUCUUCUGGGACAGGCAUCCUGAGUUCUCUCAGGUGUUUCAAGACAAUUUCCUUCCUAACCUUUAGAUCAAUGGUUCUCUAUAGAGACGUGGCUAAAGACAUAUUUUACAUAAGUCAGUGUUUGAAGACACAGAUGGGAAUGAUUUUCCUGCCAUGUUCAAUCCAUACAGUCAGUUCUCCAGCACAGCUGAGCUGGUCACAGGGAGUAUUAGUAUGACCAAUGCGCAAGUGAAAACGAAUUUACGUUUGAUUUUGGAAAUCACAUAGAUCAACAUCAUAAGGAAAUAAUACGUUACCCACGUCUGAAUCUGACCUCUGUUUCUUCACCCUUAAAGCUUCCAUUUAUAACCACAGCCAAAGCAGAGGAAGAAACGAGAAAAGACCGUACAGGAGAUUUCAUGAACACCCAGAGGAUAAAUGUACCUUUCCAUGUGUUUAUCUGUGUUAACAAUAAAGAACUAUGGCAUACAAUGGAAAUAAAAUAGCAAUCAAACCUAUAAAAUACUGAGAAUAAAGCUAUGAACUGUACUCUAAAGGCAUAAAUACAAAAGACGGGCAAUAAUGAUAACAAUAACAAUGACAAUAAUACUAACUACCAUUUCUUAUGUUCUUUUAAUGUGCCAGGAAUUGUCUAAGAUUUUUUACAUAGAUGAUUUAUUUCUUAGCUGUCUGGGAAAUGUUAUAAGGCAAUUAAGAUUAUUAUCCUCAUUUUUUAAAGAAGGAAACUGCAGCACACCGAGAGAUGACAAAAUACAAAAUCACAGUAAUCAAAUACUGUGAUAUUAACAUAAAGAUUGAGAAAAAUCAUUCAAAGAAGUGGAUCUGAAAAUCCAGGAGGAGACACCAAUCUACAAGAAUGAUUACUUUCCAUUCAGAAGAAAACAAUUAAAACUAUCCCAAGAAGAGCAGUAGGAAAACUUACUAUGACAUGAAAAAAAGCAAGUGAGAUUCCUAUCUUAUGAUGUAGACAAAAAUAAAUUCUUUUUUAUUUUCAAAAGGUUGAAAAUAUGUAAAUACUCAGAUGGACACACACACACACACACACACACACACACACACACUGGUAGAUAAUGAACACGAAAUACUGUGGGUAACUAACUUUGUAGUCCUGUACUCCAGAAGACAUGUUAAGCAAAGCAAAAUCUAAAAGCAAUGAAGUACAAUAGAAGAUAUGGCUACAGAAACAGUUACCUCUCAGGGACGGGGAUUUAGCUCAGGGGUGCUGCCGCCUGCCUUGCUAGUUCAAGGUCCUGAGUUCGAUC